AUUGAUCCAGGUGUAACCUGCUCUUCCCCAGCCCAGGGAGAAAGGGAAUUUCCUCAUCUUGUUGAGAUUUACUUGGUUCCAUGUGUGACUGUAUGCUGUUUCCAGUUUGAGAAAACAAUGAAGGGUCUAGACCCGAAACGUUAGCUUUCCUGCUCCUCUAAUGCUGCUUGGCCUGCUGUGUUCAUCCAGCUCUACACCUUGUUAGCUCAAUUCUCCAGCAUUGGCAGUUCCUACUAUCUCAGUAAGAGUUGGGUUAUAAUUUGUCAUUAUAAAUAGUGCAAUCCUGAGUCAGUGCUACUGCCCUGUACCUACAAAGGGGAUAACCCAGUCUCUAAUUUACUGUUAAUCUGGGGGACACCCAAGAAUGAAAUUGUACACAGGUUUGUUGAUACAAGUGAAAAUUUGAGAGAAUAAGAUUUACAGUUCAAAAACAGAACAAACCUGUUCAAAGACCAACUGGAACAAGGCAUUUGGUCAGUUCUGAUCUCUGACCUCAGGGAGUCAAGCCAAAACCAGUACGUGUGUCAGAUUUCUGAGAGGAUGGGUUUGCACUUUCAUUCAUCUCUCUGUAACAGAUGAGGGGUUUCUGUUUCCGGUAUUCUGUGUUUCAUCUCGGAUUUUAUGGGGGUGGUCAUGCAGGGAUCAUGUUGCUGGAUGAGUAAUCUAGAGACCUGGACUAAUAAUGCAGAGAAUGAGAGUUCAAAUCCCACCAUGGCACUUUCAGAUUUUACAGUUAAUUUACUAACUAAAAAUUUGGAAAUAGGAAGUUGGUCCCAAUAAAAGUGACCAUCAAGCUGUUGGAUUGUUGUAAAACCCCAAAUGGUUCACUCAUGUCUCUUUAGGGAAGGAAACCUGCCAUCCUUACCUGGUCUGGUGUUUAUAUGACUUCAGUCCCAAACUAAACUGGCGGGCUUUUAAUUGCCCUCUUUAAUUGUUUGAGCACAUCCAUCAGUUUGUAUCAAACUCCUGGACAGGAAAAUCCACGAUAAAAUGUAGUGGAUCACUGGCUGUGAGCCAGGCAUCGAAUCAGGACACAGCAAUGGCAUAGCCAGCCCAGCUGACCCUGCAAAGUGCUCCUCACUAACAUCUGGAGACUGGGGUCCAACUUGGGAGACAGUGGGACAUAGUCACACUGACAGAAACAACACGCCAUCACCACCUUUGGUUAAAACUAAAAUAAGCUCAGCAGCUGCUGGUCAGUGUCCAGUUGUUUCUGUUGUAAAGCGCGUAUCGAUCCCAUUGUGGGGCAGUGUGUGUGUGAGAUCAUUGGUAUGUAACGUCCCACAUCGCUCCGGGACUAGAAUUACCCAGGGAUCUGUUUGUACUGGGCUAGUUCUGAAACAUUAUGGCCUGUAGGUCUCUGUUGUUAGUUUUGUUCAUGUCUCUCAAUCUGCUCAUGUCUUCAUUCUAUCUCCAGGUCCUGGACUCUCAACUGGAGCAAGAGUUGGAUUGGGAAUUGGGAUUGUUGCUGUUUUUGUUGUUGCAAUUGUGGUUUAUACCAUUCAAAAGCGAAAAAGAUGCAAUCGAAAUAAAGCAUUUAAUUGUGACCCCUUUUGGGAGAUGACCUGUUGAGGUGAAGCACGGAGCGUUGUGCCAACAGCACCUGGGCAUCAGGAUGGAGCGGCUGGAGAACAAAACCUUCUGGGGAACGUGGCUAUCCAGCACUAACUGAGUUUCCACUGCACUGAGCCUGGGUCAAGGAGGGGAAAAUCAGCACCGUGUUGUGGGGAUUGAGUGAUUCCUGGUGGAAAGUCUGAGCUCAGGAUUGAGACCAAAAAUCACUUCCCACUUUGCACAAACCUUUCUGAGCAGCACAAUCUCAGGAGGGAAAUUCCCAGUGGAGGUUUUAUCCUUUACUGGGAAAACUGUCGGAGUAUUUCAUUCUCUGCAUUAUAGCUCAGUGUUACUGUUACAGACUGUGUCUAAACUCAGUCUCGUGGUUCACUUUUUGGCAUCUACCCUUUGAUCAAACCUGGUAGAGAUUUUUUCCAAGAUAUUUUGAUAAAUAUCCUAUUGAUGAGUGAGUGGGAACACCAGAUAACUUCAUCAGAAACUGAAUUGAACAGGAGCUCAUUUAUUUUCCAUCUGGACUUGACCCACUGCAGUCCCUGUAGUGAUGGUGCUCUGACAGCAGGUAAUAUGGGAAGAGGCUUCAGGCUCCCUCUGCAGCAAUGUCUACUGGCCAAAGCCAGCAACAGAUUCUGGAUGGUUUACACAUUGAAACUGCCUCUGGCCAAAUGUAUGUCCUGUACAUUUAACUCUUAAUUUUCCAGAAUAUCUAAGUAAUUGUACUGUAAAUAGUUUAUAUUCGAAUCUGUCAGAUAUCAUGAUUCCUUUUCUAUCUGUACAGUUUGCUCCAGGGUCUGAUUAAAGCAAAUCUGGUGCUGAUUUGUAUGAAUAUGUUAAAGUCGGAUAUAUUUGUAUCUUUAUUCUGGAUGUUUGUCCUGAUAUUGUACCGAUAUGUCUUGUGAAUGUAAAUAUGACUUUUGGAAAUAAAGUAUCUGCUUCAGCA